AGAAAAAGAAAAAAAAAAGCAGUGGGGUUUUGCUGUUCAAGGAUAAAUUGGCACUGGAGGGGACACAGGCUGUGGAUGCCAAAAGGCAGAGGAGAAGGAAGAAGAACAAGGCUCUUGUCAGCAGGCAGCCUUAUUACUCUGGGUGCUUUCAGGAACUGAAAAGCCCAGGGAAGUGCAGGCCUGUGCCAGAGGGAGCAGCCCCUGUGCAGCCCCCAGCCCCGCCGGCUGCUCCCGACCCUGCGGCGGGAGUGAGGGGUGGGGGCACCAUCCACAGGACCCUCCUGGACGUGGGAUCACCCACAGGAUCACCCUGGACGUGGGAUCACCCCGGGCAGCAGCAGCAGCCGGUUCACGGGUGCCUGCUCAAGGCUCCUGGCGCUGACCAGGGGUGCUGGGCUCUCUCUGUGCAGCCUGAUGUGGGAUGUUCAAGGUAUUUCCCCCCUCCCUCCUGCCUGCCCUGAAGGUCUGGGAAGCCAAGUCCUUUCAGCUUCAAAAACCACCCCCAGCUGCUCCCCAGCCUUUCCAGCAGCCGCCCGUGCGAUGGAAGGGGGCUUCAUGCCUCUGCAACAACCCAAGCCUUGCAGGUUUGCAGCUGGCAUCUUCAUUUCCUGAGAGAAAUAAUCCCUGCAUUUUUUUUCCUUGGGUGGUUAUAAAUAUUUGAGCACCUGACAGGUAAUACUAGAAAGUUAUCUAUUGUUCAAAAAUGAGAAUAGGUAUAAAUAUCUCUGUCACGGUACGAACGGAAGGUCUGCACAGCUGCAGCUUUAUAAAAUACAGUUGCUUGGAAGAAAAGUCCUGGUUCAGUGUAUUAACAACAGGCGGAGUUGUGCUGCUCACACGUACCGGGGAUCUGGCAGAAGCCCGAAGAGCUGGAGGGAAGCAAGAAGGAACUGUGUAAAUAAACA